AUACGUAGGGGGCAAGCGUUAUCCGGAUUUACUGGGUGUAAAGGGAGCGUAGACGGCUUUGCAAGUCUGAUGUGAAAGGCAGGGGCUCAACCCCUGGACUGCAUUGGAAACUGUGAGGCUCGAGUGCCGGAGGGGUAAGCGGAAUUCCUAGUGUAGCGGUGAAAUGCGUAGAUAUUAGGAGGAACACCAGUGGCGAAGGCGGCUUACUGGACGGUAACUGACGUUGAGGCUCGAAAGCGUGGGGAGC
rnacentral:rRNA from 1 species